ACUUCAAUUACAUCGACACGUAAUACAACGUAGGUCGACGAAAAAAGCGUCAAGUAAAAACGCAUUAUUAGAUAUAACUCGAAAAGUAGUUGUUAGAUCUCAAAUAAAUUUAAAUGGGACCAAUUGGCACACACCACCUUUCGAUUAUAACAAAAUUUGUCGAAAUCGGUCUACGCGGUCAAAAGUUCUGAUGUAACAUACAAAA
rnacentral:misc_RNA from 1 species